CUUCUUUUUUUUUUUUUUUUUCAUUUUCUGAAAUUUCGUUGGUGCAAGGGUAUUUCUGUCUUUUCACAUUUUUCGUACGGGAUUGUGGUUGGGUCCAAUUGCAUUUGGUGCAUUUUAAUUUAGGUGGAUUAGCAUUUUAAUUUAGGUGGAUUAAGUGGUCUUGGUAUAGGGUGCAUUUAUGUGUAUGUGGUGUAAAUUUAAGCAAAAAAAAAAAAAAAAAAAAUCAAAAAAAAAAAAAAAUCAAAAGUGGUGGGACCCACCACUAACUCAAAAGUGGUCUAGAGACCACAUUCUCUCACUUACUCUUUUUCUCUCCCCGUAACCUUCUCUUCCUCUCACUUUUCAGUUUCUUUUUCUUUCCUUUUGUUUUUCAAGCUUUGAUCUUUGAUUUCCAUUUCCAUACUUAGUGAUUUGGAGUGUCGUUUGAGGCAAUACGGAGAGCAUGACGAGCUCUACGCAUUAGUACCGACAAUUUCAGUUUUGGUGCUCCAUAGGGAUUUCGAAAUUGAAGACCCAUUUUGAGGGUUUUGCACAAAUUGAGGUUAUGGCAAAGAGUUGGCGGAUGACAAUCCACCACAAAACUGACGGAGUGUUGGAAGCCUUCAUUUUGCUAUUUUGCACUUAGGCUAUACUUUUGUAUAUCUAUUGUCUUGGAAAUGUAAUUAAGUCACCGGUCAUGGCCUUGUAACAUAAGAAUGAAACUAAUGUAAUCAUAGUGAUUAUCUCCGUGAAAUUGUAGUA